AUAAUCAUCUCAUCAAUGGAACUGUCGGUGAUUGUAUGCUCCUUGACCCUAAUAGCCAGAAACCAGCAGUCAAUGUGCAUUACUUGAUUUGGAAGAAAGGCAGCUUCUUAGGGAAGAUGAAAGGUCCAAAUGUAACGCCCUGCAAAACUGACAACAAAAGAUGUACAGUAUUAUUGCUAGUAAUGGCAGCUUGAGUUUGUGCCCAGCAUGGCUGGAGGAUAGUGGGCAGUACGUGGUAGAAGCUUAUACCAAGGAUGGAAUACAGGAAUACACUCACAGAUUUCAAGUAGUGCUUGCUCAACCCAAAUUAAGGAGUAAUCUCAUCAAUGGAACGCCUGGUAAUUGUGUGCUAUUUGAUCUGGACAGCAGAAAACCAGCAAUCCGCAUUAGUAAUGUAACUUGGAGAAAAGACCAUAUCUUAAUGGGGAAGAUGAAAGGUGGCAAUGUAACCGCCUGUGAAAUCUACAGCAAAAGAUGUCUUAUCUUUAUCAAUGGCAGCUUGAGUUUGUGUCCCAUGUGGCUGGAAGAUUCUGGGCAGUAUUUUGUAGAAGUAUUUACGGAUGAUGGAAAACAGCUGUACAAUCAAUCAAUUCAUCUGGUUCUUACUGACAUUGAAGGUCCAGCACAGCAUGAACUCUACACCGCUGCGGAAGGCCAGUGGCCUAUGAGUAGAAAUGAGGAAGAGACCACAGCAGCAGCAGCAGCUCCUUGUAUUACUAAGAACCCUACAUCUUUAAAUAUUUCCACUUUUCAAGUAUCCAGAAAAAUAAAUCUGUUGCUGCAAUGCUUAUGUGGGGAUAUGAGGAACUGA
ensembl:lncRNA